CUCUUCACCCUGCCACGAAGCCACACCUCUGCAGCGUGACGUUGCAUUUCCUCCCGCCAGUAAGUGUCUCCCUGCGCUUGUAAAUCUGGACUGGUCUUGUGACUCGCUUUGACCAACAGAACACAGGGUCAGUGAUGGUGUGCCAGUUCUAAGCCUCAGCCUCAAGAGGCAUUGAACACUUGUGCCCUUUCUCUUGGACCCGUGAUUGACCUAUGAUUGUGCUCUUUUCUCCUGGACCACGGGAGCAAGCUGCCCUGCUGGAUGAAAGAGACACUGCCCCGGUCCCCCUGUCACUCACGCUGAGAGCCAAACAACUGCCAGACUUCUGAGAGAGGCCUUCCUAGACCAGGCAGCCCUUGGCCCAUCUGCCCGCUGACCGCAGAUCCGAGGAAGCCAAAUCAGGAUCAACCAAACCUGGCCCAAGUUAGCAGCACUGCCCGGCUGAGCCGUAGACCUGUGAGCAAAAGCAAAUGCCUGUCGUGCUCUGGAGGCUGGGAGUCCAAGAUCAAGGUGUCAGCAGGAUUGAUUUCUCCCGAGGCUUCUCUCUGGCUGGAACCCAGCAGCCUUAUCACCAUUUCUCCGGCCAAAAGUCACCUGACAGAGCCUCUUUUCCUACGUGCUGAACCGAAAGGCUGUCCCUUUUGAGACUUAUACCUGUUAGGGAAGUCAACAUCCACCCACUUCCAGGACAGGGAUGCUGAGAGCUCUCAGGCAGUGAUUUUUGGCCUCGUCGCUACCGAGGAGUGAAACGGAUAAGAGUCAACAAAGAAUAUUCCUAUGUCAUUUUUUAAUGCUUCAAAUCUCCCCUUUAAAAUUGUUCUGGUCCUAAAUGCAUGCUCUGUGUGUGUGUGUGUGUGUGUGCGCACACACAUGCUGCCGUUGUGUUGUUGUU